rnacentral:rRNA from 1 species
AUCCCACCUGGGGAGUACGCCGGCAACGGUGAAACUCAAAGGAAUUGACGGGGCCGCGACAAGCGGAGGAACAUGUGGUUUAACUCGACGAUACGCGAGGAACUUACCCGGGUUUGAACGCAGUCUGACCGCCGAUGAAAGUCGGCUUCUAGCAAUAGCGGAUUGCGAGGUGCUGCAUGGUUGUCGUCAGCUCGUGCCGUGAGGUGUCGGCUUAAGUGCCAUAACGAGCGCAACCCUUGCCGUUAGUUACUAACAAGUAAAGUUGAGGACUCUAGCGGGACUGCCAGCGUAAGCUGUGAGGAAGGCGGGGAUGACGUCAAAUCAGCACGGCCCUUACAUCCGGGGCGACACACGUGUUACAAUGGCGUGGACAAAGAGCAGCCACUUGGUGACAAGGAGCUAAUCUCCAAACCACGUCUCAGUUCGGAUCGGAGUCUGCAACUCGACUCCGUGAAGCUGGAUUCGCUAGUAAUCGCGCAUCAGCCAUGGCGCGGUGAAUACGUUCCC